UUUUCAUCUUGCACUGUAUUUGCAUGAUUGUGUGCCUUGGUAUGUUCACAGAUCCCUUGUCCGUACACACUGUAUACUCGCCAAGAUCAUCAGCUGUCACCAGAUUGAUGAAGCAGGCGAGGCCAACCUGAACGUCACCUCAACCCAUCCUCCGUACGGCAUGUCAGUACCAUGGGCCGCCACAAGAUGUAGGCAUUCGGGUGUUUCUGUGGCUUCAGAAAUAUCCCUCAGUCUAACUUCCGCCUCACUGCUGUACGUCUGGGUAAGAGAUGAAUGUGACUGGGUCGUUCUCGCUGAUGAAGGAGUCAGUCCACCCAACAAUCAUCCCAGCGGUGCCUCCAAAAAUUGUAGUAC